CUCUGCAGCCAAACAGGCUUCACACCACAAUCACCUGGUCUGAGGCUUAGCCCUAAUAUUGUUUAAUGUAGCCUCAAGAGAUCAAACCAAAAUAGAAUUGUUUUAAGGAUUAUUGUUUCGUCCCCCAGCUUUCUUUUCUUCCCUACAGUGAUGAAUGGGAAAAUCUCCUUUGUUUCAGGCCAUCGACUUCAUCAUCUGGACAGCUGGCCAAUCACAAACACGGGAACAUCUCUGCUCGUGAGACCAUUGGAUGUUAGAGAGACAGGUCGCCUGGUGGGUCGCUCUCUGUUUUGGUCAAGCUGCUGUGUUCACUGCUGCAGUCCUGCAGGAUGUCUCCUCCAGAAUGCAUCCUGUCCUCUGGAUCAACCAGGGAGGACGAGAAGAUUAGCGGCAUCAACAGUUGACACUCAAACACAUUUCUGACUCUUUGUUUACCAAGUGCCAUAUUAAGAAAACUCACCAUCAUCUGGAGACAGGGACUCUGCCACAUCCUCUGUUGCUGUGGCCUGGAAGAAGAAGGAGAAAAGGUUUAAACUUUCUGUCUUUCUCAAAGUUUUUGUCUGCAGGAAAUCCAGCUUUUAAAUGUCAGGCCGUAGAAGUGGCCGCUUACGUCUGUGGGGGCGGGGCUGCUGGAGAGCAGCGUGUGUGGCUGAGCGUCAGACAUCUCGGACAGCUUCUCCUCAUCCUCCUCCUGGAUGGGAGAGGAUGGAGACCUAAGGGUGCUGGAGUGGGGAAGGAGGCAAAACAUUAAUGAAUACACAGAGAUCCAACUACAACAGACUCCCAUCACUUAAAUGCUCUGGGGAGCUCAGCUGUCUGCUCUCACCACCCAGACCCCCUGAGAAGUUGAUUUCAUCGUACAGGGGGGCAGACGGGAUCGCAGGAGACACUGACCGCAGACCAUUCAGAGCCUCUAACAGUGAGAUGGGCUCAAAGCCGGGAGGGACCGAGUCUGAGCCCUGCAAUGAGACGCACACAAGGACUGGUGAAAAGAGAUAUCGUCAUGAUUGUUCUGCAGCCCGUAACCUACCAUCUCCUUCAUCAACCACAGCCUGGAUAACCAUGGGAAACACGCCUCGAUCAAGGUCAAAGUUCAGCUUAAAGGGAAAAGACACAUAUAUUUCAAUUUUCAGUUGUAAACAGAGAACAAGUAUGGUGCCUUUAGAGUAUGUGUGUGUAAAAUGUCAAAUGUGCUGACACACUGAUGUAGACAUCUGGCAAAAGUGUGCCAUCUGAGUGUAUGUAGAGGACAUUUACUGACAUACGCUUUUACCAAAAAGACUAUUUAUUUUUGUGAUGUGUGAUCCAGUAACAACUUCCAUCUUCCUGCAGAUACUUACAUCUUCC